rnacentral:rRNA from 1 species
AGAGUUUGAUCCUGGCUCAGGACGAACGCUGGCGGCGUGCCUAAUACAUGCAAGUCGAGCGGCUUGGCGAAUCUUCGGAUUCGCCGGGCAGCGGCGGACGGGUGAGUAACACGUGGGCAACCUGCCUGUAAGCUUGGGAUAACUGUCGGAAACGGCAGCUAAUACCGGAUAAUUGGUUUCUCCGCAUGGAGAGACUAUGA